GCCUAUCUUCCCUCUCGCGCCUCUAGCCUGAAACCCUCGCGGCACAGUCGCUGCAGCUAACUGGGAAGGCGACGACGGGAUCGCGGCGUACAAAACCUCCGAAACUCCGGUUGAGUGGAUAUCAAAGUCCUUUAAUUAACAUUCAUUUCGUGAUAGCUUAAAUUACAAUGGCUUUGAGGCAGAUGCUUGGGUGGUCUGAUGGAGAAUUGAUGAGGUCAGAUGCAAAGCCCUGCACCCGACUCAUGAGACACACGGCGGGGGUAUUCUCUGUCGGAGGAGGCCUCACCUUUUGGGUUCUCUGUAGGUUGCAUUAUGACUCCAGAAUUACUGCUCCAAGAAGUAUCAGGUGGGCUGCUUGUGGAGCCAUAUCAAUGAGCUGCACAUCAGCCUUGCUGGUCCGCCUCUUAAGUCCAGAGUGUGAACCACAGAAUAUAGCUGCUUAUGAUAAGGGCGUCUGAAACAAUCACUGGCGUGCUGUUCUGAAGACUGACUAUUAGUUAUCUGCUGAGACUCUGCUCUUAUUACACCAAUCUGAUCACUGAAUGAAGUGGGAAAAUUGCAGGAGAUUCUCACUCUUCUUCAGAUCACUUGGAUGACAUACUGUAGAUGUUUGGUUUCCACAACAUUGUAGACUACAUUUUGAGGUACAAUACAUCAAUAAAUAACUUUUUGAAUGAAGAGUUUUUGUUCAAGACUAGCAUUUCCACUCACCAUGGAUGAUCCUAUGCUACGAUGUUGAAGAAAUCUGAGAAGAAGCGUCCAGACCCGACUCCUACUUUUUCAAAGCGGCCUCAGUAGGACAGUGAUUGUGGGUUAGUUUCUCUGAAGCAGAGUAAGAGCAGUGACAGAACAAAAAGACCUCCGUCCAAUCCCUCAAAAAUUCAUAUUUUGGAGAGUACUGAAUCAUUCAUGCACUGGGUACCAAUAAGCCUAAGAAUAUGUGACAAAUGAGAUGAAACUUGAAGUGGGGUUAUAUCUUUCCUUGAUAAAGUGAAACUCCGAAUUUGUCAAGAUCAAAUUCCUCCACGACGAGUUCGUAACGUCCUAUUUCAUCUCCUCGAGGGAGUCAAAAAGUGGAAGAUGAAGUGAGCUGUCAGGAUUGUGAAGAUUUGAUUCGUUCUAUAAAUGGAUGCAUAUGUCGAAAGGCAGAGGCAAGAUUGAGAGCGGGAGAACAAAAAAGAGAAGUCGUGUGGUUAUCUUACUAGAGAUUUUAUUCUAAUUGGAACAUUAAGGGCUCUGACGUGAAGAAGGAAGAUAGCUGAAGUGCAUCUUGGGCAAGCGUUUAUGCUCUUGACGAAGUGAAGACGUUUCUGUUGAGUGCGAGUAUCGUGAUGAAGAAGAAGCUGGCCCAUACACUAGCCAAAUUUUUUAGAGGAAGCGACUUUCGUGUGUAGGAGUAGAGCCAAUUUCAACAAGUGGGCUUGCGGGAGAGGAGCUCAUGUGCUGAUAGAAGACUUAUGCGUGCGCUCAGGAAUAAGAAGGGAGAUCCUUGUGUAGACGAAGGAAUUGACAAGCUAAAGCCUGCGAAGGGGGAAGACGGGCACAUUGUCGAAGUUGAAGGUGUUGAAGCAGAGGAAGAAUAAGA